CCCAGCGUGCACCGUGGUUGACCGUUGGUGACACUCGCCGUUCUGAGGGUUGGAAGUUGGAGAUGUCCUCUGUUAGCACUCCAUUGCAGAAAACAUUUCAAUUGCGCAGCAAAUCGCUAACGAUCGGGAAAAUACACCUGAGAGUAUGGUGGAAAUAAAUUCACCAGAGCCGGUUUUGGUCGUUGAAGGGGAGUUAGAUAAGCAGCCAUACGGGACGGGGGAAAUACGUUGGCAGAGUUCCAUGGAAAGGAGGGAGGCUGAAAAAAAGCUGGAUUGUUACCGCUGAGAACCGGCACCGUCAGGUCGCAACCAGGACACAUUGGAACAUAUGCUGAUUGAUGUGUUCGGAAACAUGAAAAUAAGAAAAAGUCCAUCCUGAAUGAGAUUGAGAUGGGGUUGGAUGAAUGAAGAAUCCACACAUAUUCAAAGCCACAGAACUGAGGAAACACAGGGUCAAAUGAAAACAAUACGAAUAUGAUGGAUUGAGAAAGAAAUCGACAAAGUUCAUUAGAGACAAUGAAACUCCAACAAGGGACUUAACAGGGAAGGAAAGGACAAUGCAACAAAUUCAGAACCCCACCUAUCAUUUGACUAGUACAUCUAAAUUAAUUCUCCUUCCAUUAAUCUUACAUUAUCAGAUGUAAAGCCAGAACUAAUGUUGAUCAUUUGAUAUGUUUUACUAAUAACUAUAAGAUUAUUUGUGGGUCAUCUUUAAGGUUAUUAUUUAUAUGCUGUACAGGUAUAUUUAACAAACGUUCUGAAGUCAUUGCUUUUAGUAAUCUUUGUUGAAUUACUUUGUACAUUUGUUCUUCAUCAGUUGGGAAAUUUUAUUUUUCCUCCGUACUUUUGAGUCCCUGCGGAAACUGCUGAAGACAGUCUGGUAACCAUCCAAUAUUCCUGUACAGGUGUUCCCAGCAGAAGCAACUGGUCAACAAUCUUUACAUGGAAGACUGAUUUUCUUUCUUCCUCAGUGUUGAGCAGUCGAGAACAGAGGCAGUGUCCCACCAUGCUUGGCUUCUGAAUCCUAUAAACCAGAACUCUUGAAUACUUAGCUGAAAGUAAGGAUAUUCAGAUAUGUGCCACCUUUAUGACUGCUGCCUGAGGAUGUGAGACAGCUGACGAGUGCGGCUAAAGUGCAUAGACUUUGUUUGUGGUAACCUUUUUGUAGACAUUCUAUGAAAAAAUAGGCAGCUUCAUUGGUGCCUACUGCAGACCCAUGCAAGGUCUUAUUGGCAGCACACUCAGGUUAUCAGUUCAAGUCUCACUCCACAGUUUGAGCAUAAAACUUAAAGCUGGUACUCUCGUGCAGUACUGAGGAAGCCUGGCACUGCUAGAUGUGCCCCCUCUCAGAGAUGCAAAACAAAGGCCCCACCCACUCUGCUUAUGUAGAUACAAAAGAACUCAGUGCGAAAUACCCAGUAAGUCUUUCUACUUGUCCUGUUCUUGCAGGAGUACAGUACUGACACUUACAUCACUUGCAUCGAUAGCCAUUUUAAAUGGCUUUGCAUAAUUAUGUGUGGUUAACACAGAGCAGCAGUUAGCACAGCUUUCAAGUUGUCAAAUUCCUUCUGACAUUCCUCUGUCCACUGAAAUUUUCUGCACUCCUUCAACAAAUCAGUGAGUAACUACACUGCUAAAAUUCAGUAUGACCUUCCAAUAAAAAACACUUGGUCCCAACAAUCGUAGUUCUGCCUUCUUAGUCAGUGGUAAUGGAAAUUCACCAAUAACCCUUUGUUUUCACAUCCCAUCAGACCAGAAUGUGGCCUGGGCUUUUGAAAACUCACUCUUAGCCAGGUUUACCACCAAGCCCACCUCCAAUGUUGAUCAAACAGUCGUGAUCGAUGUUCUUUCCAUGUGUGACUAAAUCACCAGGUUGCCAAUGUACACCACACAAUUGGGUAAUCCUGAAAUGACUUUAUUGGAUAUUCUUUGAAAUGUGGCUGUUGUGUUUUUAUACCAGAUGGCAUGACUUUAAGCUGGUAAAGCCCAUUUAACGUCACAAACACCAAAACUUCUUUUGCUCUUUCAGAUAAAAGUACCUGCCUGUAUCCUCUGAGUAAGUCCAACUUUGAUAUAUAAGUGGCAUGUCAAUACCUUCCCAAUACAGUCUUCCAGACAUGGAAUAGGAUAUGAAUUAGAGAUAUUUUAAUUGCAUUGUCUUAGCGAUAGUCUUUGUGUAAUCGUUUGGUACCAUCUGGUUUUGGCAUCAUUACUUAGGGUGAACUCCAUUCACUGCAACACACUUCAAUAAUAUUGUCUUUGAGCAUGUGUUCAAUCUCUUUUUGAAGCUGUGCUAACUUUAGUGGGUUAGGUCUAAAAGAGUGUUGCUUAAUUUGAACAGCAUUUUCUAUAUCUGCAUCAUGCAUACUCCAAUUAGUACUUCCCAGCUUAUUCCCACAUAUCUCCCCAUGUGGUUGUAAUAACUGUUUUAGAUCAUUUCGAUUUUCUUCUGGAAGGUAACCCAAUAAGUUCUCAAUUUUUAAAAGCUUUUUCAUUGUCUGAUUUAAUUUAAGGAAUGUGCAAUUCAGAAUCAUCUGAACUUGAUUCUUCACCUUGUUGUAACUAGUAAUACAUUCACCUUUUGCUUUCCUUCCCAAUCAAAAUAUCCUUUGAACAUAGUUACAUGACAUAAUUCCCUGGCAUUCUUAUCAAAUAAUUCACCUCACUCAAUUUACUUUCAAUUUGAUAAGACCCACUAAAUCUUGCCUUUAAAGGUUUACCUAUCACUAACACUAUCUCCAAUAGACAAUAGGUGCUGGAGUAGGCCAUUCAGCCCUUCGAGUCAGCACCACCAUUCAUUAUGGAUCAUGGCUGAUCAUCCACAAUCAGUAUCCUGUUCCUGCCUUAUCCCCAUAACUCUUGAUUCCACUAUUUUUAAGAGCUCUAUCCAUCUCUUUCUUGAAAGUAUCCAGAGAGUUGGCCUCCACUGCCUUUUGGACAGAGCAUUCCAUAUAUCCACCACUCUCUGGGUGAAGAAGUUUUUCCUCAACUCUGUUCUAAAUGGCCUACACCUUAUUUUUAAACUGUGUCCUCUGGUUCUGUACUCACCCAUCAGCGGAAACAUGCUUCCUGCCUCCAGAGUGUCCAAUCCCUUAAUAACCUUAUACGUCUCAAUCAGAUCCCCUCUCAUCCUCCUAAACUCAAGUGUAUACAAGCCCAGUCGCUCCAAUCUUUCAACAUAUGAUAGUCCCACCAUUCUGGGAAUUGACCUCAUGAACCUACGCUGCACUCCCUUAAUAGCAAGAAUGUCCUUCCUCAAAUUUGGAGACCAAAACUGCAGACAAUACUCCAGGUGCAGUCUCGCCAGGGCCCUGUACAGUUGCAGAAGGACCUCUGCUCCUAUACUCAAUUCCUCUUGCUAUGAAGGCCAGCUUUCUUCCACUUUGAUUUCUUGUCUGCUUCCAGUUUCAUCACAUAAUGUGCUUCUUUCAAAUGCUGUCUAGCCAACUCAUCUGCUCUGUUUAAUCUUUCCCUAAAAUUUGACACAUUUUCCAAAUAUGUGUCUCUAAACUCUGACUCUCAAUUUUUCCUUAAUUAAUUAUAGCAGUCCUCUCAACUCAUGCCAAAAAAACAAUUCAAAUGGACUGAAUUUAGUUCAUUCAUUAGCUACAUUCCUAAAUGCAAUAAGUACAAUGGAAUUCCUUCGUCCUAAUCCUCUGGAUAGCCUUGACUAUAAGUCCUCAACACCAUCUUUGAAGUCUGAUGCCGCAAUACUAAUGGUCCCAGCAAUUCUGGAUGGUACACAGUGGAUUUGAAUUGUUUUAAUCCUAAAUUAUCCAUAAUUUCUUUGAAUAAUUUUUGAUGUAAAAUUUGACUCUGAAUCCCAUUGUAUUUUUGUGGGUAGUCCAUAUAUACUAAAAAAAAUUGAGUUCUCUUUUACAAUCUUUUUAGCUGUGAUACUACGUAAUGGAAUAGUCUCUGGCAAUCUGGUAGAUACAUCCAUUAUGGUCAACAAAUAGUGAUUUAUUUGUUGUAAAUAGGGGUCUUUCAAAAUCAAUUAAGACUCCUGUAAAAGGUUCCUCAAAAGCUGGAAUGGGAAUUGGGGGUUUUGGCUUUAUCAAUGCCUGAAGUUAUCCAAUUACCUGACAUGUCUGGAAGAAAUCAACCAUAUCCUAAUGCAAUCCAGGCUAAUAAAAAUGUAUUUUUUUACAUUUUGCCUUGCAUUUCACUUAAUCCCACAUGAUCUCCUCCUGGUGCUACCUGCACUACCUUUUGUGCAGUAACCCACCGUUAAGACAAAUUGAUGAUCCUCUGCCUGUUUCUUACCUGCCUGAAUGUGAUGGUCUCCAUUUCCUCAUCAAGACUUCAUUUUUAAGAUAGUAACAUUUUGGGAUACACUGCUUUAGUUUUUCAUCUUUCUGUUGUAAUUCAGCUAAUUUCUCUGAACUGAAAAUAUUUAUUUUGUCCUUUACCUGUAUUUUUUUGCUCAAACAUUUAACCAUAUAUAGUUUCUGAUAAUUCAACUUCCUUCUAUAUUUAUUUCUUGAUUUCUCCAGCUUCAACCUGUGACUUUGUGACCUUCUUCCCACACAGCAGGAAAGAUCCCAGGAUCUAUUUCCUCUAAUGCCUCAAUUGCCUGAUUUUUCGACUGGCUUUUCAACUGUAGGAGGUGUUACUCCCUUCUGUGAUUCAACAAAAUCACUACCAAGAAUAAAAUGUAUUUCCAGAUCUAAGAAUUUCUGUAUUACCACCAAUUCACAACUUUUCAUCAGAUUGUCAGAUCUCACUUUAUAUAAUGGAACACUGCUCUUCUCACCAUGAAUUCCACAUAUUCCAAUUCUAUACUUUUUCUCCUUAAUUAUAUACCUCAUCAUCUCUCGCCACAGAUUGACUUGUUCCUGUCUCUCUUAAAAUCCAAAUUUCUUUAUCUUCUGCUGACAUAUGAGUUAAAUUUUACCCUCACAAGUACAUUCUUUUAAGAUAUCUGGACGUGGAUGUUUGCAGCUCUUUAACAUGCUUUGUCCUUUCUACUGUGUGCUUUCCUUUACUGGCUUAUCCUGUUUUCCCACAUCUGUUCCCAGUACUUUCUGUAGACACUACAACUUCAUGUGGUCUUUUUUAAUUACAGUGAAAACACCUGAGCUCUUUUACUUCUCUUUCCCCCCAUGUGUUUCCUUUUUACCUUGUGGCAAACUAUCUUCAAUGUUCUAUCGCUCAUAGAUUGAAAAUGCUAAUGUUUCGUUUGAUUUGGCUGAGAUUUUGUUCACCUGUAUUGCUACCUUUAAUGAUAUGUGUAUUUGUACUAUCAUGUUUCUUUUGGUUCCUUGAGACCAUUUAGUGUCUUAUUUUCUAUGUAACUUGUAACCUCCUUAUUACCAAAAUACAUCAACUAGUUACCUA